rnacentral:rRNA from 1 species
UACGUAGGGGGCGAGCGUUGUCCGGAAUUAUUGGGCGUAAAGAGCUCGUAGGCGGCUUGUCGCGUUGUUCGUGAAAAUUUACCGCUCAACGGUGAACUUGCGGGCGAUACGGGCAGGCUGGAGUAUGGCAGGGGAGACUGGAAUUCCUGGUGUAGCGGUGGAAUGCGCAGAUAUCAGGAGGAACACCGGUGGCGAAGGCGGUUCUCUGGGCAUUACCUGACGCUGAGGAGCGAAAGCAUGGGGAGCGAACAGG